AAAAAUAUGCUAGCCGUUGAGGUUUAGUGAUGAUUGUUGAUUAUAUUUAGUCUGGUAUAUAAUAGUAGGAAAAAUUUAACUCAAAACCAUGGAAUUCUAGGGACAUGGAAGGCUCUCUCUCUUUUCCCGCAUUUUUUUGGGUUUUCAAAAUACUGCCGGCUAGUUGUUGCUUACCCAAUUAUUGGACUGGAUAUAAAAAAGAACCUAAAGAUCCUAUCGUUUCUCUUCACUCCUUCCCACGAUAAAUUCUUAAAAAGUGCCUUGGUAAGAGUCAUAAGUUAUGACUCUUUCCAAGGCACUUUUUAAGAAUUUACCUUAGUUAUGACUCAUAACUAAGGUAAACUGACGAGGCUUAGGCACCUUCAAAAUAUUCAAGAAUUUGUUCCCUUCAUUUACAAGAUAAGGAUUUUGUUACAGAGAGUAAAGAUGAUCGUCGAAAGAGUCUAAAGAAGCAGUUGUUGUCUAUGGAUCCUAAACUCCGAAACCGUUAUAUAAACCCAUCUGUUCUUCCAAGAAUUUUCAUUAAUCUUCCAAAAUCCUCAUCUACGGAAAAACGUAAGAGGAUAACAACGAAAGCUACAUCAUCAGCAAGGCUUUCUGAUGAAAAUUGAUGCCUUUUCUAGAAGGAAGAAAAUUUAUUAAAAAUGGAUCUUGUGGAGGAUUUUGAGGACUUAUGUUCCAAAUUAGUCAUUGAACAACUUCCAGAAAAUAUAUGUUCUAAGAGAACAGAGGACUGCAUUAAACUUAAGUUUUUGGAAGGUUCAUCCAAUGCAUUCCUUGAAAUAAAAUUCACUUUAAGUAUUGAAAUAUCAGUCAAUCCUAAAAUAAUUUACCAUAUAACGAUCGAAGAAACGAUUACUUCUAUAAACAAGCUUCAAAAUAUACUGGUCUAUAUGAAAUCCCUAGGCUCUCCAUCAAUGCAAAAAAUAAGGCUUGAUCCUUCAUUCGUGGAAGCCUGACCCCGUCCUUUCAACGAGGAAGCAACUAAUGGUCGUGGGAUGUGAUGCCAACAUUUUCAGGGAUCGACUCUAAGAGCCCUCUGGGGGACUUACGUCUGUUGGAUUGACGUUUUGUGAUAGUUAUCAAUCCAGAGAAGCGUUUAAAGAAAGCCCAUCGGAUAAAAUCCUAUUCCAAAUUCGUUCGAAACUAUGACUAUUCCCAAAAUAAAAACUAAUUAUCAGCUAUAUAUUUUUAAUUCACUAUUUAGUACACCUCAAUCUACCAAUUCAGCCUUACAUACAUAUGCUUGUAACCCCAAUUUAUUUUUUCUACUUUAUGAAUUGAACAUUGAAUGGAACAAUAAUAACUAUUCCCUCCGAAACGCAUUUCCAGUGGAUCAGAAUUUAUUUUUCUAAGGAAAAUAAAUUUGUGUUUGUACAAGAUUAUCUAGCAUCACUUUCAUUCAAUGAUGUUAUAUUUAUUUAAUAGAUAUUAAUCUUGUAAUAAUAAAAUAAUUCAUUCAUUAUGGUAAACAAGUGUGUUUAUGUUUGGUGUCGAACUGGAGCCGAUAAGAAACUUCCUUCAGGUAUCGGACUACAUAUAUAUGUCUUAAUGUAUAGGGUUCUGAUAUAAAUGACUCCUCUUUCCUUUAAAGUAUCUUUACUCUGUUUACUAAUUGUAAAGUAAUAAUUUUAAAAUCCAGAUUUAAUUCAUUGUAGGGCAACACAAAUUAAGUAAAUAAAUAUAAUUAAAAUUCA
rnacentral:lncRNA from 1 species